UGGGCGUAAAGGGCUCGCAGGCGGUUUCUUAAGUCUGAUGUGAAAGCCCCCGGCUCAACCGGGGAGGGUCAUUGGAAACUGGGGAACUUGAGUGCAGAAGAGGAGAGUGGAAUUCCACGUGUAGCGGUGAAAUGCGUAGAGAUGUGGAGGAACACCAGUGGCGAAGGCGACUCUCUGGUCUGUAACUGACGCUGAGGAGCGAAAGCGUGGGGAGCGAACAGGAUUAGAUACCCUGGUAGUCCACGCCGUAAACGAUGAGUGCUAAGUGUUAGGGGGUUUCCGCCCCUUAGUGCUGCAGCUAACGCAUUAAGCACUCCGCCUGGGGAGUACGGUCGCAAGACUGAAACUCAAAGGAAUUGACGGGGGCCCGCACAAGCGGUGGAGCAUGUGGUUUAAUUCGAAGCAACGCGAAGAACCUUACCAGGUCUUGACAUCCUCUGACAAUCCUAGAGAUAGGACGUCCCCUUCGGGGGCAGAGUGACAGGUGGUGCAUGGUUGUCGUCAGCUCGUGUCGUGAGAUGUUGGGUUAAGUCCCGCAACGAGCGCAACCCUUGAUCUUAGUUGCCAGCAUUCAGUUGGGCACUCUAAGGUGACUGCCGGUGACAAACCGGAGGAAGGUGGGGAUGACGUCAAAUCAUCAUGCCCCUUAUGACCUGGGCUACACACGUGC
rnacentral:rRNA from 1 species